rnacentral:lncRNA from 1 species
AAAAAAGGAUUUAUUUCAGACGGACUGCUAACAAGAUAUUGUAAAAUAAUUGGACACAAAUAUCCAGACCACCAAUGUUCGAGGUGUAAUGGAGAAGAUAAUAUUAUUCCAGAAGUACAUCUAGAAUAAAAAAGACAAGAUGCCAGCUGGAAAGAUAAGAUAAGGAGAAAUAAUGGAGCAGAUACGGCAAAAUCAAUGGAGACAAGAUACUGUACAAAGUCUGAAUUAUUGUACAAAGUCUUAACUAUUGAUUGAAUUAUUGUACAAAUAAGACUUUUACGUAAAGAUGUAAACUCGUAGGAAAUUAAAGGCUAGUAGGUUAGGCCUAUAGCCCCUUUUGUUGACUUUUUAGUUUUUAGAUUUACAAUUUUAAAAAAAGAAAACGUGUGUAAAGUUUGAUUGUAAAGAUUACUUUUCGUUCUAUAAAUAAAGAAAGCAGAAGGCAUUGCAAAAGCAAGCCUUCAUGCGUUGAAGCAAGCAUUCUCUCCAUUCCACAACAAAUACUUUACUCAGUUAAUUAAAUAAACAUAUUUCAAUGGAAAAAGCUAUGGAGCAACAAACUUCAGAAAUAUCAAAACUACCCGAACAGGUAUAUCUAUUUAUGAUUAUGAAUAGCUAAAUUCAUAAUUCCCAACAAUCAUGAUAUGAUAAAAUAAAUUCAUAUUAGUUACUUUAUAGUAGAAUUAUUCGAAGAAUAAUAUGUUAAGAAGUUUAUUAACAAAGAGGAAACGGAGAAAGAUCCCNN